rnacentral:rRNA from 1 species
AUUGAACGCUGGCGGCAGGCCUAACACAUGCAAGUCGAGCGAGAGGCGGACGGGUGAGUAUUGUAUGGGGAAUCUGCGAUAGAGAGGGAGAACAACUCGAAACAGUGGCUAAUACAGCAUAUUGCAGGAUAAUCCACAUGGGAUUAGCUAGUAGGUAAGGUAAUGGCUUACCUAGGCGACGAUCCCUAGCGGGUCUGAGAGGAUGAUCAGCCACACUGGGACUGAGACACGGCCCAGACUCCUACGGAGGCAGCAGUGGGGAAUAUUGCACAAUGGGCGCAAGCCUGAUGCAGCCAUGCCGCGUGUAUGAAGAAGGCCCUAGGGUUGUAAAGUACUUUCAGUCGGGAGGCGUUACCGACAGAAGAAGCACCGGCUAACUCCGUGCCAGCCGCCGCGGUAAUUC